GAUGAAGAACGUAGCGAAAUGCGAUAGUAAUGUGAAUUGCAGAAUUCAGUGAAUCAUCGAAUCUUUGAACGCACAUUGCGCCCGCCAGUAUUCUGGCGGGCAUGCCUGUCCGAGCGUCAUUUCAACCCUCGAACCCCUCCGGGGGGUCGGCGUUGGGGAUCGGCCCUCCCUUAGCGGGUGGCCGUCUCCGAAAUACAGUGGCGGUCUCGCCGCAGCCUCUCCUGCGCAGUAGUUUGCACACUCGCAUCGGGAGCGCGGCGCGUCCACAGCCGUUAAACACCCAACUUCUGAAAUGUUGACCUCGGAUCAGGUAGGAAUACCCGCUGAACUUAAGCAUAUCAAUAAGCGGAGGA
rnacentral:misc_RNA from 1 species